UGUAAGCGUAUACCAAAGUUGUUGCAGUUAAAACGCUCGUAGUCGGAAUUUGGCAGUUCCGGAUGUGUGCACGUCGUGUGCGCACUUCGCGGGGAUUGCUUUUGUGGUCUUGCGUAGGAUGAGGCACUUUUAUUAGUGAACGUCCUCACGCAACCACUUUUUACUGUGAGAAAAUCAGAGUGCUCGAAGCAGGCAUUUGCCGUGAAUGUAUUAGCAUGGAAUAAUAGAAUAGGACUUGGUUCUAUUUUGUUGGUUUGUUGGGACUGAGUGAUGAUUAAGAGGGACAGUUGGGGGCAUUUGUAUUUCGGUGCUAGAGGUGAAAUUCUUAGAUUACCGAAAGACAAACUGCUGCGAAAGCGUCUGCCAAGGAUGUUUUCAUUGA
rnacentral:rRNA from 1 species